rnacentral:tRNA from 1 species
GCGGGCGUGGCGGAACUGGCAGACGCACUAGAUUCAGGAUCUAGGGCCUUAGAGCGUAUGGGUUCAAGUCCCUUCGCCCGCA